AUAGAUUCCUGUUGAUCACACUUCUGGAUGGUGUGAAACAUUCCUUUCUUCACCCAGAAAUUCUUAGACUACUUGCUUUGUUUAUGAGGUACCAAAGCACCAGGAUUAUUUCUCAAAAUGAAAUUAGCCACAUACUUGAAGAAGCAAGAAAUUCCAAAAUGGCAGAACUUUCUGAUGCUACAAUUGCUGCUCUUCGCUCAUUUCUUCUUCAGCUUCAAAAUGGAAAAUACCAGGUGGAAUCGACCCAAAAUACAUAUGUCCAAAUCUUGCUAGAGAGCCUCCCAUCAACAAGGAGGAGUCUGCAUACCCAUCAAGACAUGGUAUUUCAUAAUGGAAUAGUAGUGUCUCUCUCACACAUCAGAGACUGAAAUGAGAAGAGAAAGUACUGAACACAGUAAUGAAUGGAUAAAGCAACUUGCCUUUAUAAUUUUUGCCUGUCAGUUGGUUUAAAGAAGGAAUAUAAAGGAGAUUACAGCCUACCCCAGAAGUCAUUUAGUAAUCUAUUUAGUAGUUGAAAUAAAAACACUCAUAUUAAAAACUUUAACUGUUUUCUGUCUUUCAUAGAUACAACUUAGC
rnacentral:lncRNA from 1 species